rnacentral:rRNA from 1 species
GCAUAACGCGAAGAACCUUACCAGGCCUUGACAUGCAGAGAACUUUCCAGAGAUGGAUUGGUGCCUUCGGGAACUCUGACACAGGUGCUGCAUGGCUGUCGUCAGGCUCGUGUCGUGAGAUGUUGGGUUAAGUCCCGUAACGAGCGCAACCUUGUCCUUAGUUACCAGCACGUUAUGGUGGGCACUCUAAGGAGACUGCCGGUGACAAACCGGAGGAAGGUGGGGAUGGACGUCAAGUCAUCAUGGCCCUUACGGCCUGGGCUACACACGUGCUACAAUGGUCGGUACAGAGGGUUGCCAAGCCGCGAGGUGGAGCUAAUCUCACAAAACCGAUCGUAGUCCGGAUCGCAGUCUGCAACUCGACUGCGUGAAGUCGGAAUCGCUAGUAAUCGCGAAUCAGAAUGUCGCGGUGAAUACGUUCCCGGGUCUUGUACACACCGAGUCGUGGGGAGGCAAGGGCACGACAGGGGGGGG